CCGGUUUCCGCCGGACCGGUUAGAAUCCCAAAUGGCAAAUUUCGAUCGUACCAACCUCUUCACGGCGCCGUGAUACAGCCGUCCACUGCGACUGCAAUGUCCGGUGACCGGAUAAGCAUUAUACGCGAUGACAGUAGUAUUGUGUUGACGUCUGGUACAGACACCGGUUUGGGAAAGUAAAUCAUUCUCUAUGAGAAUAUCAGACCUUAAGACAGUUAAAUUGUUCAAAUUUUUACUUUAUAUUAUGUGAUCAGUUAAAACUCGUAAUACUGAUUCUUACUUAACCAUUUUUGUAUAAUUUUCUUGAUAUUGUCAUUAAAACUCAUCAUUGUAAUAUAAAAUUAUUAACAAACACAAUUCUUGUUCAGGGGGUUUUCAUCACUUACAAAAGAACGUGUAACGUGUAACUCAUUAAGAACAUAUUUCAUAAGAAAAUGUUAAUUUUCAUUCAUAAUUUUAAUUUUUAAAUAUGUGUUAACUGCACCCGAAAAUCAAUUAUCACUAUCAUUUCCCAAAAGCGGAGCACGAAGCUCCACGCGAAUUGACAGUUGUUUUUCAUGUCUGUUAGUAUUAGUACAAUUCAGGCAAUUUUUCGCCCCAUAUAUUAGUAUGUGUGUGCCGUUUGACGUUUGUUUGUUGAUUUUGAAAUCAAGCAGAAUUUGCAAUUGGUAUGGACACUGAAAUUUUUAUUUCGCUUCUUUAUUUAGCUGCAGUGGAAAAUUUCAGUGAUAAAAGUUUCUGCUCAAAGCGAAGCAAAGAUCACAGGCGCACGAGGUCGUCAUGGAGUGUUUUGCCAUGGAUUGUGUUCAACGGUCUCACAGCAACUUUCCUCAUUUGAAAUCGCUACCGAAAGAGUUUGAGGAUGUGAAACAAAUGUUCAACUGGUUCAUCAAGGGAUAGAUUUUGAGUGACUUCAUCCAGCUGAAUGUGAAGUGUUCCCAUUUGGUAUACCAUACAGUUCGACCUGACCCGGAACACGAUCGACGAUAAGGUGGCCGCGACUCGGCUCGAAAAACUUAAACCCGAACUGUCCGAUCUGUGCUCGGUGAUCAAGAUGUUCCCCUGCCCGACGCUGAAGCAUCGGCUCUGUCAGAACGAAAUCACCCAGCUGUUGGCAUAUCUGAUUCGGUCAUUCUUCGUCCAGGAUCCGCGUAUUAAUAGCCGUGCAUUGAUGCUCGAUGAAUUGCGGCUGAGUGUGUUCUGAACAAGGAUCUGCGGAAGCAGCAAUGAGAUAGUAUUUGAAGGAAAAGUAUGAUGUAAUUUGAAUCGCAAAGAUAAUUACUGCAAUGGUGAAAUAAAGAAAAACACUCUAGAAUGAUUUUUUGCAAAUUUCAAGAUAAUUACAGGAAGAAAACACAUAAUACAUAUAAAUAAGUAGUUCCCCUAGCUUGUUACGGAAUGUUAUUAUUAUUGGUUCAUAAGAUUGUACACUUUUAUCUAACCGUGUUCUCGAGGCUGUUGAAAAAAUAUGUGGCAACAGAGCGUGUGGAAUAAAUCAUACACAGUAAC